AUGUAGCGUUGUUCAGGAAUAACGACGCAGACACAGGAGCUUUAGUUUCAGCAGAGAGCCUGCCUCUGACGGGACGAACGGAACGUUUAGAGCAGCGUUCACUCACAGAGGCGGUCCGCGUGCGUUAGCGAGGUUAGCCCAAAGACCGAAAUACGGUUAAAACGCACAUCCAGGUAAAUACACACAUCCAGGUAAAUACACACAUCCAGGUAAAUAUACACAUCAAGGUAAAUACACACAUCCAGGUAAAUACACACAUCAAGGUAAAUACACACAUCCAGGUAAAUACACACAUCAAGGUAAAUAUACACAUCAAGGUAAAUACACACAUCCAGGUAAAUACACACAUCCAGGUAAAUACACACAUCCAGGUAAAUACACACAUCAAGGUAAAUAUACACAUCAAGGUAAAUACACACAUCCAGGUAAAUACACACAUCAAGGUAAAUACGCACGUCCAGGUAAAUACACACAUCAAGGUAAAUACACACAUCCAGGUAAAUACAGACAUCCAGGUAAAUACACACAUCAAGGUAAA